GGUAGCAAUAUUUUGUGUGUUCAGCGGCGCAAGGGUGCGUAACACGUGGGUAAUUUGCCAUGAAGUCCGGAACAACCUGCUGAAAGGCGGGCUAAUGCCGGAUGUGACUGCGGGAGAGCAUUUUUCUGCAUUCAAAGUUGGGGACCGUAAGGCCUGACGCUUCAUGAUAAGCCCGCGGCCUAUCAGCUAGUUGGUGAGGUAACGGCUCACCAAGGCUAAGACGGGUAGCUGGUCUGAGAGGACGACCAGCCACACUGGAACUGAGAUACGGUCCAGACACCUACGGGUGGCAGCAGUCGAGAAUUUUUCACAAUGGGCGAAAGCCUGAUGGAGCGACGCCGCGUGGGGGAUGAAUGGCUUCGGCCCGUAAACCCCUGUCAUUUGCGAUCAAACCUCGUUAUUUAAAAGAUGACGAGCUGAUAGUAGCGGAAGAGGAAGGGACGGCUAACUCUGUGCCAGCAGCCGCGGUAAUACAGAGGUCCCAAGCGUUGUUCGGAUUCACUGGGCGUAAAGGGUGCGUAGGUGGUGAGGUAAGUCGGAUGUGAAAUCUCCAGGCUCAACCUGGAAACUGCAUUGGAAACUACCUUGCUGGAGGGUUUGAGGGGGGGAUUGGAAUACUUGGUGUAGCAGUGAAAUGCGUAGAUAUCAAGUGGAACACCAGUGGCGAAGGCGAAUCCCUGGAAAACACCUGACACUGAGGCACGAAAGCUAGGGGAGCAAACAGGAUUAGAUACCCUGGUAGUCCUAGCCCUAAACGGUGCUUGCUUGCUGUAAGAGGAAUCGACCCCUCUUGUGGC
rnacentral:rRNA from 1 species